rnacentral:rRNA from 1 species
UUCCGGUUGAUCCUGCCGGACCCGACUGCUAUCAGAGUGAGAUUAAGCCAUGCGAGUUAACGUAGCAAUACGUGGCGCACGGCUCAGUAACACGUAGUCAACAUGCCCAGAGGACGUGGAUAACCUCGGGAAACUGAGUCUAAACCGCGAUAAGUGAGGAUUUCUGGAAUGGUUCCUGACUAAAAUCUAUAUGGCCUCUGGAUUGGACUGCGGCCGAUCAGGCUGUUGGUGAGGUAAUGGUCCACCAAACCUGUAACCGGUACGGGCUCUGAGAGGAGGAGCCCGGAGAUGGGCACUGAGACAAGGGCCCAGGCCCUAUGGGGCGCAGCAGGCGCGAAACCUCUGCAAUAGGCGAAAGCCUGACAGGGUUACUCUGAGUGACUUUCGCUAAGAAAGUCUUUUGGCACCUCUAAAAAGGGUGCAGAAUAAGGGGUGGGCAAGUCUGGUGUCAGCCGCCGCGGUAAUACCAGCACCCCGAGUGGUCGGGACGAUUAUUGGGCCUAAAGCAUCCGUAGCCGGUUCUGCAAGUCCCCCGUUAAAUCCAGCUGCUCAACAGAUGGGCCGCGGAGGAUACUACAGAGCUAGGAGGCAGGAGAGGCAAGCGGUACUCAGUGGGUAGGGGUAAAAUCCGUUGAUCCAUUGAAGACCACCAGUGGCGAAGGCGGCUUGCCAGAAUGCGCUCGACGGUGAGGGAUGAAAGCUGGGGGAGCAAACCGGAUUAGAUACCCGGGUAGUCCCAG